CAGUCGCCGCGGUAAUACGAAGGGUGCAAGCGUUACUCGGAAUUAUUGGGCGUAAAGGGUGCGUAGGCGGUUUGGCAAGUUUGGUGUGAAAUCUUCGGGCUCAACUCGAAGUCUGCAUCGAAAACUGCCGGGCUUGAGUAUGGGAGAGGUGAGUGGAAUUUCCGGUGUAGCGGUGAAAUGCGUAGAUAUCGGAAGGAACACCUGUGGCGAAAGCGGCUCACUGGACCAUAACUGACGCUGAUGCACGAAAGCUAGGGGAGCAAACAGGAUUAGAUACCCCGGUAGUCCCUGUCUCUUAUAC
rnacentral:rRNA from 1 species